AACGAACGUUGGCGGCAUGCCUAACACAUGCAAGUCGAACGAGACCUUCGGGUCUAGUGGCGCACGGGUGCGUAACGCGUGGGAACCUGCCCUUAGGUUCGGAAUAAUUCCCCGAAAGGGGUGCUAAUACCGGAUAAUGUCUUCGGACCAAAGAUUUAUCGCCUUUGGAUGGGCCCGCGUUGGAUUAGCUAGUUGGUAGGGUAAAAGCCUACCAAGGCGACGAUCCAUAGCUGGUCUGAGAGGAUGAUCAGCCACACUGGGACUGAGACACGGCCCAGACUCCUACGGGAGGCAGCAGUGGGGAAUAUUGGACAAUGGGCGAAAGCCUGAUCCAGCAAUGCCGCGUGAGUGAUGAAGGCCUUAGGGUUGUAAAGCUCUUUUACCCGGGAUGAUAAUGACAGUACCGGGAGAAUAAGCUCCGGCUAACUCCGUG
rnacentral:rRNA from 1 species